rnacentral:tRNA from 1 species
AUUUAUAUAGUUUAAAUAAAACCAUUCAUUUUCAGUGAAUAAAUGAGCCUUCAACCUCUAUAAAUU